AUUGAACGCUGGCGGCAGGCCUAACACAUGCAAGUCGAGCGAGCGGCGGACGGGUGAGUAAUGUCUGGGAACCUGCCUGAUGGAGGGGGAUAACUACUGGAAACGGUAGCUAAUACCGCAUACCAUCAGAUGUGCCCAGAUGGGAUUAGCUAGUAGGUGGGGUAACGGCUCACCUAGGCGACGAUCCCUAGCUGGUCUGAGAGGAUGACCAGCAAAACUGGGACUGAGACAUGGUCCAGACUCCGACGGGAGGCAGCAGUGGGGAAUAUUGCACAAUGGGCGCAAGCCUGAUGCAGCCAUGCCGCGUGUGCGAAGAAGGCCUUCGGGUUGUAAAGCACUUUCAGUGGAGAGGCGUUACCCGCAGAGGAAGCACCGGCUAACUCCGUGCCAGCCGCCGCGGUAAUUC
rnacentral:rRNA from 1 species